GUGUAGUAUCACCGUGGACUGCAGAAAACUACCUGCACUAGAACAGAGCGCUGGUAUGGUCAAAUGUGUGCAUGUGUGUACUUGCUCCACUAAAAGCCGGUAUCGCACCAGAUUUCGGGUGUCGCCUUGUGCGUGCGUGUGUGUUAUUCUCACAGCACACUCGUUCAUCAUUUUUUUCGUUCUUUCGCUUGAGCCACUCGAUUUCGUUCUUCGCUGAUUUUGGCAGCGCACGAGGGGGUUUCGGCUUCAACUUCCAACAACAACAACCACACGAGGAGGCUCGGGGACACUCAUCAGGGGAAAAUCGCUCAAAUUAGAGCGAGAGGCAGAUAGAAAAAGUGAAAGGUCAAUAUAAAAUCUUCGGCUUUUGACCGUUGGGAAGUAGCAGAGCCGAAGUUUUUCAGAGAUUUUUCUGUGUGCCAAAGCGAGAUGCCUUGUCUUCUCUCUCUAGAUUUUGGACAGCAAACCGCCGCGCGUGUAGAGGUGUGUGCGUGUGAUGAAAAAUGAUGGAUGAAAAACGCGAGGAGCGGUGUCUGAAGUCUUUCGUUGGUCACACACACAUGCAUCUACCAGCGGAUUGCGCUACACCGAGUCUACCCAUCUCUCUCGAUCUACCAUGAUUUUUAUGCUAUCGCACUCAUCCGGGAGUUAGGCAUCCUCAGUCUGUCCAGAACUUUCCCUGUGGAAGGAUGUGCGGGAGUGAUGCGCGAUUUCUUGUGUCCCCUACUUUCCUUGUUUACGUUUUGCGCAGUGUUGCUUCUUAUUCCAUUGUGGAAUGAUUUAUCCUAGCUAACUUGUUGAGUUACAGGUGCAUGCGCCAUUCAUCAACGCCUACGUGUUGGCAUCAUCAACAAUCUUCAAAGUGGGUGAUGGAAAGAAAUGGUUUUCCAGUUUUAAAAUAUUAAGCGUUCAGCACAACUCAGCCACAAAACAACGCACUGGAUUGCGCUAAGAACCUUUCGAAACGCGCGCAGCCCCCGGGAGCGGUAGGAGAAAGGAACAACGAGAGGAGGAAAAACUAAAGCCAGCGCGCAGCUCUGAUGGUACCGCGGACGCGGUAAGAAGAAAAAAGAUCGUUUUGUGUUUCGGACUGGUGCACAAUUGAGGAUAUUUAAGACACACGCGGCUCUUCUGUAUAAACCACUUAUAUUCUAAUAUAAAUAACAUAUAUUCUACAGGACUGUUGUGUGUGUCGGGUCGUGGCCUAUGAUCGAGUGCCGACCCUCGGUAGCCCGAUCGCUCCCGAAGCCCUUAACGGCCAUUCGGACGUCGGAUGCUGUCAGUUGCACGACAGCAUCGAGUCGCGGUUACACUGCACCGUUUCUGUACACAACAUCUCCCUCUCUUAAUUCAGCUGGUACAGCUGCAACCUGCGCGACGCC